CUCCUACGGGAGGCAGCAGUAGGGAAUCUUCCSCWWUGGACGAAAGUCUGACGGAGCAACGCCGCGUGAACGAAGAAGGCCUUCGGGUCGUAAAGUUCUGUUGUUAGGGAAGAACAAGUACCAGAGUAACUGCUGGUACCUUGACGGUACCUAACCAGAAAGCCACGGCUAACUACGUGCCAGCAGCCGCGGUAAUACGUAGGUGGCAAGCGUUGUCCGGAAUUAUUGGGCGUAAAGCGCGCGCAGGUGGUUCCUUAAGUCUGAUGUGAAAGCCCACGGCUCAACCGUGGAGGGUCAUUGGAAACUGGGGAACUUGAGUGCAGAAGAGGAAAGUGGAAUUCCAAGUGUAGCGGUGAAAUGCGUAGAGAUUUGGAGGAACACCGGUGGCGAAGGCGACUUUCUGGUCUGUAACUGACACUGAGGCGCGAAAGCGUGGGGAGCAAACAGGAUUAGAUACCCUGGUAGUCCACGCCGUAAACGAUGAGUGCUAAGUGUUAGAGGGUUUCCGCCCUUUAGUGCUGCAGCUAACGCAUUAAGCACUCCGCCUGGGGAGUACGGCCGCAAGGCUGAAACUCAAAUGAAUUGACGG
rnacentral:rRNA from 1 species